CUGUUGACUACUGAGACCAGCUCUCUGAAGAGAAGAUGAGUAGUCCUGCAUGACUCUCUUGGAUUGCCUCACUUCAAGGUAACUGAGCUUAGGGUUUCUCUUUACUGAUACAUGAAGAGAAUUGAUCUGAGAGUUUGGGGCUUUGCAGGGUCCAGCUUACAAAGAGACCCCCCUGUGCUGAUGGUGCAAGCUGAUCGCCUUGUGCAAACAGASAGAGAUGAAGAGCAAAUGCAGCAGAGCCCUUGUGUUCUCAGUCAUCUGGGAAUGUGGCCACGUAUUCCUGGGUGUAAAACCUGCAGCCACAUUGGAAUCAUCAGAACCCCACUGUAAAUUAUUGACUUAGCUCUGGUUCCUGCCACUUGGGACUCUGUUUUUAACUAAGUUCAUUCAUUAAUGUUUAUAAGGCACACCAAAAUCUUCCAAUGCAUAUGGCACUAUUGAAAUGCUAAGUGUCAUUAUAAUUCAUGCUUGCAAAAGCAGCUGAAGAUAGAUUUACUUUACGUGGCAGACGGUAA